rnacentral:rRNA from 1 species
AACGAACGCUGGCGGCAUGCCUAACACAUGCAAGUCGAACGAGACCUUCGGGUCUAGUGGCGCACGGGUGCGUAACGCGUGGGAACCUGCCCUUAGGUUCGGAAUAACUCCCCGAAAGGGGUGCUAAUACCGGAUAAUGUCUUCGGACCAAAGAUUUAUCGCCUUUGGAUGGGCCCGCGUUGGAUUAGCUAGUUGGUAGGGUAAAAGCCUACCAAGGCGACGAGCCAUAGCUGGUCUGAGAGGAUGAUCAGCCACACUGGGACUGAGACACGGCCCAGACUCCUACGGGAGGCAGCAGUGGGGAAUAUUGGACAAUGGGCGAAAGCCUGAUCCAGCAAUGCCGCGUGAGUGAUGAAGGCCUUAUGGUUGUAUAGCUCUUUUGCCCGGGAUGAUAAUGACAGUACCGGGAGAAUAAGCUCCGGCUAACUCCGUG